rnacentral:rRNA from 1 species
UACGGGGGGAGCAAGCGUUGUUCGGAUUUACUGGGCGUAAAGGGCGCGUAGGCGGUCGCGACAAGUCACUUGUGAAAUCUCCGGGCUUAACUCGGAACGGUCAAGUGAUACUGUCGGACUAGAGUACAGAAGGGGCAACUGGAAUUCUCGGUGUAGCGGUGAAAUGCGUAGAUAUCGAGAGGAACACCUGCGGCGAAGGCGGGUUGCUGGGCUGAUACUGACGCUGAGGCGCGAAAGCCAGGGGAGCGAACGGG